rnacentral:rRNA from 1 species
GUAGGUGGCAAGCGUUGUCCGGGAAUUAUUGGACGUAAAGCGCGCGCAGGCGGUUCUUUAAGUCUGAUGUGAAAGCCCACGGGCUCAACCGUGGAGGGUCAUUGGAAACUGGAGAACUUGAGUACAGAAGAGGAAAGCGGAAUUCCACGUGUAGCGGUGAAAUGCGUAGAGAUGUGGAGGAACACCAGUGGCGAAGGCGGCUUUCUGGUCUGUAACUGACGCUGAGGCGCGAAAGCGUGGGGAGCAAACAGGAUUAGAUACCCUGGUAGUCCACGCCGUAAACGAUGAGUGCUAAGUGUUAGGGGGUUUCCGCCCCUUAGUGCUGCAGCUAACGCAUUAAGCACUCCGCCUGGGGAGUACGGCCGCAAAGGCUGA